rnacentral:piRNA from 1 species
UACUUAAGAUAUGCACAAGUAGAAGACCCU